AGUGAACGCUGGCGGCGUGCCUAAUACAUGCAAGUCGAACGGAGUGGCGCACGGGUGAGUAAUGUAUAGCUAAUCUGCCCUACACUAGAGGACAACAGUUGGAAACGACUGCUAAUACUCUAUAGUGUAGGUUGAGGCUAUAUUGCAUCAGCUAGUUGGUGAGGUAAUGGCUCACCAAGGCUAUGACGCAUAACUGGUCUGAGAGGAUGAUCAGUCACCCUGGAACUGAGACACGAUCCAGACUCCUUCGGGAGGCAGCAGUAGGGUAAAGUGCUCAAUGGGGGUGACCCUGGAGCAGCAGCGCCGCGUGAAGGAUGACACUUUUCGGAGCGUAAACUCCUUUUGUUAGGGAAGCGGUACCUAACGAAUAAGCACCGGCUAACUCUGUGCCAGCAGCCGCGGUAAUUC
rnacentral:rRNA from 1 species